rnacentral:ncRNA from 19 species
AGAAUUAAAGCAUAAUUUAAUACUAAGUAGUGACAUCUCGGAAGCCGGUUAAAAUCCGGCGCUGUGUCUCAGCAACCGUGUUAUCAGACGAAAGGACAUACUAAAGGCCACUGAAGCUUGCAUCUUCGGGAAGGCGUCCAAGUAGGUACUAAAGAUUAAGUCGGUAGACCUGUCACGAAAAGAAAUUAUGUU